CAAGAGCGUAUGUAAAAGUUGUUGCAGUUAAAAAGCUCAUAGUUGAACCUUGGGUUUGGUUGGCCGGUCCGCUUUUUUGCGAGUACUGGAUUCAACCGAGCCUUUCCUUCUGGCUAACCAGUCGUUUCGGCGGCUGGCGAACCAGGAUUUUUACUUUGAGAAAAUUAGAGUGUUCAAAGCAGGCAUUAGCUUGAAUAUAUUAGCAUGGAAUAAUAGAAUAGGACGUUAUGGUUCUAUUUUGUUGGUUUCUAGGACCAUCGUAAUGAUUAAUAGGGACGGUCGGGGGCAUCAGUAUUCAGUUGUCAGAGGUGAAAUUCUUGGAUUUACUGAAGACUAACUACUGCGAAAGCAUUUGCCAAGGACGUUUUCAUUAA
rnacentral:rRNA from 1 species